GACAGAGGGGGCAAGCGUUGCUCGGAAUUACUGGGCGUAAAGGGCGCGUAGGCGGGAUGGCAAGUCGGUCGUGAAAUCCCUCGGCUCAACCGAGGAACGUCGAUCGAUACUGCUGUUCUUGAGGAUUGCAGAGGAGACUGGAAUUCCCGGUGUAGCGGUGAAAUGUGUAGAGAUCGGGAGGAACACCGGUGGCGAAGGCGGGUCUCUGGGCAGAGACUGACGCUGAGGCGCGACAGCGUGGGGAGCAAACAGG
rnacentral:rRNA from 1 species